UCCCGCACGAUCACCGAAGUUAAGCAACAUCGAGCCUGGUCAGUACCUAGAUGGGUGAUCGCUUGGGAAUAACAGGCA